GAUGAACGCUGGCGGCGUGCCUAAUACAUGCAAGUCGAGCGAACAGAUAAGGAGCUUGCUCCUUUGACGUUAGCGGCGGACGGGUGAGUAACACGUGGGUAACCUACCUAUAAGACUGGGAUAACUUCGGGAAACCGGAGCUAAUACCGGAUAAUAUUUCGAACCGCAUGGUUCGAUAGUGAAAGAUGGUUUUGCUAUCACUUAUAGAUGGACCCGCGCCGUAUUAGCUAGUUGGUAAGGUAACGGCUUACCAAGGCGACGAUACGUAGCCGACCGGUGAGGGGGAUCGGCAACACUGGAACUGGAACACGGUCCAGACUCCUACGGGAGGCAGCAGUAGGGAAUCUUCCGCAAUGGGCGAAGGCCUGACGGAGCAACGCCGCGUGAGUGAUGAAGGUCUUCGGAUCGUAAAACUCUGUUAUUAGGGAAGAACAUACGUGUAAGUAACUGUGCACGUCUUGACGGUACCUAAUCAGAAAGCCACGGCUAACUACGUG
rnacentral:rRNA from 1 species